rnacentral:lncRNA from 1 species
UUAAAGAAGGCCCAGCCCAGCCCAUUACGUUAUUAUUUUUUAAAAGCCUCUUGGGUUAUUUAUUAUUUUCUUUUUAUAAAAGUCUCUCUUUUAUAAGUUUAAAGAAACCCUAGCCAUUUAUAGAGCUACAUUAUUACGAAAAUACCCCUAAAUGAUUAACCGGUUUUUAAACCUUGGUGUUACAAUGAAUUAUAGGGUGUUAUAAUAAUUAAUAAAUAUAUGUAUUAUAAUAAUUUUUCUAUCCAAUAUAUUUUUAACUAAAA